AAAGGAGUGAGAUUCAUUUUUAGUAGUGAGAUUGUUAUGAACACUGAUCAGAGCUCCAUAACAGUAACGCUGCUUUAGAAGGUACUGAACCAGAACCCUUAUAGUUCUGCAGGGCCUUGUGUUCCAGUGACAGGUACUGAGCCAGAGCCCCUAUAGUUCUGCAGGGCCUUGUGUUCCAGUGACAGGUACUGAGCCAGAACCCCUAUAGUUCUGCAGGGCCUUGUGUUCCAGUGACAGGUACUGAGCCAGAACCCCUAUAGUUCUGCAGGGCCUUGUGUUCCAGUGACAGGUACUGAGCCAGAACCCCUAUAGUUCUGCAGGGCCUUGUGUUCCAGUGACAGGUACUGAGCCAGAACCCCUAUAGUUCUGCAGGGCCUUGUGUUCCAGUGACAGGUACUGAGCCAGAACCCCUAUAGUUCUGCAGGGCCUUGUGUUCCAGUGACAGGUACUGAACCAGAACCCCUAUAGUUCUGCAGGGCCUUGUGUUCCAGUGACAGGUACUGAGCCAGAACCCCUAUAGUUCUGCAGGGCCUUGUGUUCCAGUGACAGGUACUGAGCCAGAACCCCUAUAGUUCUGCAGGGCCUUGCGUUCCAGUGACAUUGCUGUUGAUGUUAAGCAG